rnacentral:rRNA from 1 species
ACAAGCGGUGGAGCAUGUGGUUUAAUUCGAUGAUACGCGAGGAACCUUACCUGGGCUCAAAUGUAUGUUGACGUAUUCUGAAAGGGAUACUUCUUCGGACAAUAUACAAGGUGCUGCAUGGUUGUCGUCAGCUCGUGCCGUGAGGUGUCGGGUUAAGUCCCAUAACGAGCGCAACCCCUAUCAUUAGUUGCCAUCAGGUCAAGCUGGGGACUCUAAUGAAACUGCCUACGCAAGUAGUGAGGAAGGUGGGGAUGACGUCAAAUCAGCACGGCCCUUACGUCCAGGGCUACACACGUGCUACAAUGGCCGGUACAAAGGGCAGCUACCUGGUGACAGGAUGCUAAUCUCAAAAGCCGGUCUCAGUUCGGAUCGGAGUCUGCAACCCGACUGCGUGAAGUCGGAAUCGCUAGUAAUCGCGCAUCAGCCAUGGCGCGGUGAAUACGUUCCCGGGCCUU